GCGGGAGCCGGGCGGACAGUGCGCUCGCCAACCCGGUCAGGUCCGGAAGGAAGCAGCCGUAACGAACCCGCCCUGGGUCGUUCCCGGCUCCCACCUC
rnacentral:SRP_RNA from 1 species